ACUGUGUUAAAGAACAUUCUGUUGUCUAGUAUAAUAUUAAAUUGGAGUUAAAGAAAGGUAAAGUUAAAGGUAAACUAAAGUAAUCGCAUUGUGAGUUACCGUUUACGUUCUCUUUGUUUCUUCAAUUUAUAUAUAUAUUUAUACGUAUACUUUAUGUUACACAACACAAAGUAUAGAUAAAUAUUUAUAAACAACGCAAUAUAGAUAUAUAGAUAUAUAAAUAUAUAAAUAUACAAUAUCAUGGAAUCCUAACAAAGAGAGCCGCAGGUUGUACCGGCAAUUUAUGAAAACCCGCUCACCAUACCUAGUGAAAGUCGGGAUUGGAGCCUUUUACUUCAGUUCGGCCUCAGAAAACUCGAGGCAAGGGGCAUGUAUGUAUAUCAAGGCCAUCAAGUUAUCGAUCAAAGUUGCGAAUGUGCGAAAGCAGUCGUUUUACCUACAGUAAACCUAGGAACUCGCCGGAAUGAGUCCGUACGUUUAUCCACCUACACAUGACGAAUAUAGGAAGUGCGUAUGUUCUAGCCAUUGCUAAAUGCUGUUAAAAGGUUGAUGACAUGUAUCUGAGGAGGAAAAGACUGUGAUCAUACGCCGCUUAGCGAUGACUCCUGAAACUACGCCAAAUUAUCCAAUAAUGUUUUUUUACUUCAAUAUAUUGUUAAUUAAUUUAUGUUCUAUUAAUUAUCUCUUUUAUCAGAAGAAAUUAAUCAUUACAGGUAUAAUUAUUUCUUUAUAAUUCAUUAGUAAUAAUGAAUUAGUAUGAAAUUAU